GAUACAAUUUUACACGAAAUAACAUUAAAAUAUAUGUUUGUUUGAGAAUAAAAAAGCAUUUUUAUUGCUUAUAAAAGUUAAAAUGAAUAUGUAGUAAAAAUUUUGUCGAUUCUAGGAUCCCUUGGAAGUUUUUAAACUGACGUAACGAUAAUUAAUAACAGUUUCUCUAGAUUUUCAAUUAAAGUAAGUUGAUUGGAAAAAUUAUGUUGCAGGUAUACUUUUUUACUAUGGUAAGUUGAUUCGGAAAUGUGUAGACGAUGUGAUAUAAAAAUAGACUUUAUUGCUGAACUUGCAAAUCGCAAAAAGUACAAAUGGUACAGAAAAACAUAUUAAGAAUAACAAUGGCUAUUUACUCAUUAUUAUGAAUAAUAAAGAAAACCGGAGGCCAAUAUCUCGUACAAAUUAUGAUCAUUUGGCGAGAAAAGAAAGGAUAAAAUCUAUGAAAUUAUUAAAAGAACAUAACGCUAGAGUUCAAGAAAUAAUGGAUUUUUUAAAGAAUCACAGAGUAUCCACCAUGUAUUUACUUGACGAAAUAAAUAGAAUUAAAAGGGAUCAUAAAGUAAAA